rnacentral:rRNA from 1 species
AGUGAACGCUGGCGGUAGGGCUAACACAUGCAAGUCGAACGGCAGCACAGUAAGAGCUUGCUCUUACGGGUGGCGAGUGGCGGACGGGUGAGGAAUACAUCGGAAUCUACUUUUUCGUGGGGGAUAACGUAGGGAAACUUACGCUAAUACCGCAUACGACCUACGGGUGAAAGCAGGGGAUCUUCGGACCUUGCGCGAUUGAAUGAGCCGAUGUCGGAUUAGCUAGUUGGCGGGGUAAAGGCCCACCAAGGCGACGAUCCGUAGCUGGUCUGAGGGGAUGAUCAGCCACACUGGAACUGAGACACGGUCCAGACUCCUACGGGAGGCAGCAGUGGGGAAUAUUGGACAAUGGGCGCAAGCCUGAUCCAGCCAUACCGCGUGGGUGAAGAAGGCCUUCGGGUUGUAAAGCCCUUUUGUUGGGAAAGAAAAGCAGCAGGUUAAUACCCCGCUGUUCUGACGGUACCCAAAGAAUAAGCACCGGCUAACUUCGUG